GUCAAUGCAAAACUCAGAGAUCUUCCACCUCUACUUAUGUGACUGCAGAGAGGAGGACAGAGAACAGUGGACACACAGUUCAACAUGAUGGACUACAGGACAGGACUGCUGCUUCUAACUUUCUGCUGGGCAGGUGUUGAUGGUCAGACUCUGACAGAAUCUGAACCAGCAGUUAAAAGUCCUGGAGAAUCUCACAGAUUAACAUGUACAACAUCUGGAUUCACAUUUAGUAGCUACUGGAUGCACUGGAUCAGACAGGCUCCUGGAGAAGGACUGGAGUGGAUCUCUGCUAUCAGUAGUGGUGGUGGUGGCAGCACUUACUACUCUCAGUCAGUUCAGGGCCGGUUUACCAUCUCCAGAGACAACAGCAGACAGCAGCUGUAUCUGCAGAUGAGCAGUCUGAAGACUGAAGACUCUGCUGUGUAUUACUGUGCCAGAGACACACAGUGACACACACCAUCAGUAGAGCUGAACAAAAACCCCUCAGUGCCUGAACACUUGUAACAUGAAGCCACCAGAGGAGGAGCCCUCAGACCACUAAUGACUCCAACACCAGCUCACUGUAACUUCAGAGUUUUUAAUGGAAGGACUGUUUCCCUGUUUACUGUAACAAUCACUGAUAUAUAAUUAUAUGUAUGUAUAACCUUUCACCCUUUGAAGGGAUGGAAUACACUCAGCAAACAUCCUGGUUUUUAAAAGCCAGUGAUAUAUGUAGAGUAGAAACGAACCCUCAAAAAGUUAUUUUUAGGUAAGAAGAAAUACAUCUGAAUCGUAAAGGCAUUA